GUCGGUGCUUAUUGCGAUGAGGUUCCACCUGUUCCCAUCCCGAACACAGCAGUUAAGCUCAUGUGCGCUGAAAAUACUUGGCUGGAAGCGGCCCGGGAAGAUAAGUCAGUGCCGGCA
rnacentral:rRNA from 1 species